UCAAGGCGCGACGCGCUGCAGCCUCAGCGUCGCGGUUUCCAGCCUAGGCUUCCGAGCUAAUCUUUGGUCGGAUCGAAUUGGCUGUACGGCCGUCACCCGCACCGAGGCCUAUUUGCGGUCGGAGGAAUCGGGCCCUAGCCGGCCACCGUAGCCACCUCUCUGUAGUGGGCGGGGUCAAGGCCGGGUGACCCCUGACGGAGCCGCCGCUGCCAGCGACAUGUUCAAGGUAAUUCAGAGGUCUGUGGGGCCGGCCAGCCUGAGCCUGCUCACCUUCAAAGUCUAUGCAUCAGCAAAAAAGGACUCAUCUCACAAAGCUGCUGUGAAGGUUAAUGAGCUUUCACUCUACUCUGUUCCUGAGGGUCAGUCUAAAUAUGUGGAAGAGCCAAGGACCCAACUUGAAGAAAGCAUCUCCCAUCUCCGACAUUAUUGCGAACCAUAUACAAGUUGGUGUCAGGAAAUGUACUCCCAAACUAAGCCCAAGAUGCAAAGUUUGGUUCAGUGGGGGUUAGACAGCUAUGAAUAUCUCCAGAAUGCACCUCCUGGAUUUUUUCCAAGACUUGGUGUUAUUGGUUUUGCUGGAGUUGUUGGACUCCUUUUGGCUAGAGGUUCAAAAAUAAAGAAGCUGGUGUAUCCACCUGUUUUCAUGGGAUUAGCUGCCUCUCUUUAUUAUCCACAACAAGCCAUCGUAUUUGUCCAGGUCAGUGGGGAGAAAUUAUAUGACUGGGGUUUACGAGGAUACAUAGUCGUAGAAGAUUUGUGGAAGGAGAACAUUCAAAAGAUGGUGGCCAGGCGGAAUGGGUGCCGUCUGGUUAUAACCUCUUCCAGAGUAAACAUGUUUUGUGAUUUGGCCCCUAUGGUGGAUGAUAUACGGAGCGGAGUACCCACAGGAAACCGUCCCAUAGUCGGAAAAUGUGAAGAAUUCACCCGGAAAUAAGUAGAAUACUCCAUGCUCUACCCACUUUAAUCAGUUAUAGGUAAACAUUGGAAACUCCAUAUGGUAAACCAGUAUUUCUGCAGAAAAAUGGCAGAGAAGUCAGUAUUGAAUGUAGUAAAUUGGCAUUCUUCUUCAGAAAAAACUAUACUAGGCCUCUUUGUUAUCUUGGGUGAUGCCAUACUCCAAGUGGACUAAUCUGAAAUUGUUUCACCUAGAGAUAAUGUAUAAGCCUUAGAACUCCUCGUUCUCAUGUUGCUAUUUAUGUACAUAAUUAAAAUUCUAAGUUAAAAAAAAAGUCCUGCUUUUUUUUCUCUUACUAUUUAUUGAGUGACAGUUUAAGUGUAUCUGAUGUCCCUGUGUGUGUCUCUGAGUGUACAUGUAUGUGUGUGGGGGGGUAUGCGUGUGUGCAUGGUGUGUGUGUGUUGAAACCAUUCACUCUGCUUCUUAGCAUCAACUGUCAGGCAGUCUCCAAAGGUCAAGUUGAGAAAAGUGGCUCUGGAGCUGAGAGACGAUGCUUCUAUUGCCAGCACAAGGAACAAAACUUCUUGUACAGAUCUUCCGGUUCUUGACUGCCAGCAGGAGAUGCAUAAUGACGUAGUAUCUGUCCUCUGCCAGCGGAGGAAUG